UGUAGAUUUGUGUUGUAUAGUUUUAUUCCAGUAGCUCUCAGUAGUAUGUGCAGAAUAGAAACUAAUAAAAUUGGUAAUAAGGAAAACUGAUUAAAAAAAAAAAAGCAAUGGAAAACGUGGUAGAGGACGGCGUUCCUAAUGGGUUUAAUAGUGAUGGACAUGCGUAUGUUAUCAAGUCUCGUAGUAGGAAACAAAUUUAUUAUCAGUGUGCACUUCGUGGUUCCACUAAAUGUGAAACAAGAGCUCAUUUCAGGAUUGCAGGACAUUCUGGUUGCAGGAUUACAGUGAUAUUUUGAACCACGAUAAAUGGAAACACUUAAGAUAUUAUGAAGAGGGAGAUGUUACAGUUGAGACUAUUUAUGCCACGGAUAAUUCAGCAAUACCCAUUAUUGCAGAUCGUUAAUUUCUUCAACAGACAGAAAUCACGGAGUUAUUCAUUGAUGCAACAUUUAACGUGUGUCCGAAUAAACCCAAAGUUCGACAAUUCCUGACAGUUAUAGGAUAAGUUGAUGAUGCGGUAUGGAUAUUGAUAAUUUACAAGGCCAUUAAUAAUCUAAAUCAGAUAUAAAUUCAUAGCAGGACUGAGACAGAUUGUAUAAUUUAAACAAUAAACGAUGUAGAAAAUUC